ensembl:antisense Gm43915 predicted gene, 43915
GUGGUGGCACGUCCUGCUCCAGGGGUGGGAGUCGCCCGUUCUCCUUGGCCUGGAGCUUCUCCGAGCGGGACCAGCAGGAAGGGGGUGUGAAGAACUUCUCCUGCAGACUGGAGUCCUCCGUCUUAUCAUCAUAAAUUUCAACUCCCCUAAGGUGCUGACCCAAGUCAUAGAAAGGCAAGAUAUGAAGGCCCAGCCAUGCUUAAGAGACAGCCUUUGGCUUGUGUCCAGAGAGAAGCAACCAGAGACGCCAGAGACCGAGCCAUAUCAGUCCCAUGCAGCAGACUGCGAACAUGAUCCAAACACCUCUCACUAUCUGCAGCCCCAUCCCACCUCACCUCCAAAGGUGAUUUGCCUCAGAUCGUCAGUACAAAAACACGUCUCUCCUUCCCUGUACUCCAACAGCGCACAGAGCCAGGCAGGGAGAGUAAUUUCUCAUGAGGACUGUGAAUGGAGCUGUGAAUCAUCACUGGAGGUUUUUACAAAGGGAUGAUGGAGAGUUGGCUCAGCGGUACUCGGGUACCACUUGCCUGGCAUGGGUAAAGGCUUAGGUUCCAUCCCUACACUGGAAAAGUUAAAGUAAGAGGCAGAGAAGUAAGGAAAUGAAGCUGACAGACAGACCUAUAAGCCUGCUGGCACGACAGGCUUCCCCCUGGAGGCACAGAUGGGCCCGCAUCACCGUCAACCCUAUGGCCUUCGGUGUGAGUAUCUGAUGUGACUCCAGUUCACUUUCUCACAGGUAACUCGUGGUUGUUUGUUCCCUUCCUCAGUUUGAUGAUCCUCUUACAUCAUCCGUGAUGAAACCCUCUGUCUUGCCGUCUUCUGACUUUCCACUAGCAGCCCUGGGAAUCACUGCCCCCUCCCCCCAAAAGAGGCGCCUUGUGUUUCCUGUAAUAAAGAGAUGCAUCCCUGCCGAUGUACAGGGUGCAUCCGCACCUUCACAGAAACACCAGGGCAAAGCUCUCGCUCUCAGAGAGCUCUUCUCUCAAGGGUAUGAUGACAGAGUAGGGGCAAAGGGAAUCUGUGUACACAGUGGGCACACAGGCACAUCCCACUAUGGUUCCUUGGUUUCCGUGCCUGCUUCUAACCCAGACCACUGAAGGGCUUAGCGAGUGCAUUCAGAGCACCCAGACAGUGUCUGGCACACAGCUAGCGCUGCCCAUGGGUACUGCCGUCGUCAGCACCAUCGUGUGCCUUCCUAUUUCUCUACUUAAUUUUACUUUUUUGUUUGUUUGAGGCAGGGUUUCUCUAUGUAGUCUUGGCUGUCCUGGAAGUCACUCUUGUAGACCAGGCUGGCUUCAAACUCACAGAGAUCUGCCUGCCUCUGCCUCCCAAGUGCUGGGAUUGAAGGCGUGCGCCACCACUGCCUGGCUACUUUUCUUUUUUGAGGCAGAAUCUUGCUAUGUAGUUGGUGUGAUGCUGGCAAUGUAGCCCAGGCUGGUCUCAAGAUCACGGCUAUCCUCUUACCUCAGCCUCAGCCUCUUGAAUGCUCGAAUACAGACACAUGCCACUACACCUUAGUGAUUUUCUCUUCUUUUUUAUCUUUUUUUUUAAAUGGAACUGGGGAUUUGGGGAUUCAAUCUAGGGCCUUGAGCAGGCUAAAACAACUACCCGGUCACUCAUCCGUAUCUCUAGCCUCCGACUUUAUAUUCUGUGAUCUGGUGUGGCAGGCAUGCUGAAGAGCAACAAUCAUGGAAGAAGACAAGAGGGGUUCGCAAACCUCUAAUUUUCUAUAGUGUUUCUGAGGAUAGUCCUUCAGAUCCUUCUCAGGGGAUGCAGAACUGGAACCCAAAGACUGCUCCUGACUCCUGGCAAUGUAGCAAACAGGAGGACUUUGGCUUUAGUCUUGUGUACCCUCACCCCACACCAGUACAGCUGUUUCUUGGAGACUGCACAGACUCAGGCCAGCAGGACCCGGAGCCUCCUUCCUUCCUUCCUUCCUUCCUUCUUUCCUUCCUUCCUCCCUCCCUCCCUUCCUUCUUUCCCUGUGUCACAUGGUUCCUGCCAGUGUCGGCUCCCCAGAACACGAGCCAGAGAAGAGGAAGGCAGCUGGUGACUCAGUCACUCUCAUCAGACUCAACUCUAGGGGAGAACACGUGCCUUUUACACAGAGCCCACCAGCCUGGUCUCCGGGAGGUGGAACAGUGGGAAAGAAACCACACAGCUGGCCUCUCUAACCUGCUAUUGUAGAUGCUGGCAGUCCUAGGAAAUGACACAGGUGCCAUUAUAAUCUCCUUUCAAGGGACACCAAUGUCAUUGAUGAGCACCCUUCUCUGAUGUUCCAGUCAGUCUGAUUCAUAACUCAUUUUUCAAGUUUCAAUCUGAGCAGAUACUCAACACCAAGGGGAUUCCUCUUUCUAGAAUUUUCUCCAAAUAGUUGUCAUGAGUGCAUUGAAGAAAAAAAAAAAAAGCCCACUGAGUUGCAACACUGGUCUCCUGUAAUUAUUUUUAUGUGAAGGAGCAUCUGUCACCAAGGUCGAGUUUCUCUAGGAAUGAGCCUUAAAAGAGGUAAGCCAGCAACCGACCCCCCGACCUUAGAGUCUCAGGAAGGGAUACGAUACUGGGCACAAAAAUGCUGGGUUCUAAUGACAGGGAAAACUGCACGUAAAGUUAGCUACUAGGGACGAACAGUCACAGGUGAGGACAAACAAGGACUCAGGCUCCAUUUCUUCUGCAGUAACUGCGAUGAGGAGGGACUAAUCCUGGUAUCUCACAGAAGCCCAGGAGGAGGAAGCCAGUCACAAGUCACUGUGGACAAUUUAACAUAUACUGUACGAUCACAAAGAACCAAGUACAGAGAAAAGCUAAAGCAAAGAAACCAGGAGAGGCCAACAGAAAUCCUGACUUCAUCUGUACAGCCCCUAGCAAUGAUUAUCCCGGGAUAAGCUGGAGCAGGCCAGACCCGCGGUCCUGCAUUCCUUCAAGUUUUCCUAAGCCUCCACUACUACGGACAGUGAAUGUUCACCGUUGGAGAAUGUUCUGCCCAUAUUUUGAGAACAGCUCCUUGGGAGGAAAAGGCCAUCAAAGUCAAGGGAACUAAACUCAGCCUUAACUAGAGUAAAGCUUCAUCUCUCGCCAACUGUCCUUAGACUCAUUAAAGCACCUCAGAUGCUUUCAAAACCGUUGACAAACCACUUCUGCAAAGUUGAGAAAAAGAUGACCCACAGGAAGUGAAAGGGAGAUGGUGAACACGUGGCCAGGAACACCCGGAAGUAAUUGAAGGUUGCUCCCUAUCAAUAGAGGCCCGCCUCCCUUCCUCAGGUGUACGGAGGGUGCUUUUGCACAAUCAAUUCUACACCCUCUGGAACUAUGUCAGGAGGAAACAAUGAGUGGCUGCCGAGAUUGGGUGGGGACAGGAGCAGCUGCCAGGCUUUCGACGUAGCCUAGGUCCAAACGUCAGUGGGGUCCCUACCCCCCAGUUCAUCAUGAGUCAUUUGCUUGUUGGCACUUGCUAGAUGCUUGCCCAUAUGAGCUGUGAGGUGAAGCCACGGUUGGGGCUGGAAUCCAGUGUUCCCCUAAAACUUCCACCUAUUUGAGGUGAGAUUCCCCACUGGGUGGGUUCUUCUGACUCACACUCGAGAGGGCCCCGUAUUCACAUGGCACCAUCCUGCCCUCCACUUCAGCAUGAAAAUAAGAGAGUGGUCAUUUGUACAGUCUGUUCUCCCAAGUCUGUGCUCAGCCUCUGUGCCAGGGAGUGUCUUAAUUAAAAAAGCCACCAGGGAAUGUAUAAGAAAAAGAGAACAAUUUCAAGAUGUUUCAGUAAGAAACCAAGUGCCCUUGGAGGUUUCCCAGGAACUUUACAAGAUUUUGCACAGAAUCACAUCAGCUAUUAGGCAAAUCAGUACACUGUCCUAAUGACCCCAGCCCUCUUCCCCUCAUCAUUAGGUCUGGGAUGGCGAGGGCAGCAGAGGGUUAGAGUGUAUGAUCCUCUCUUAUUACUGGCUCUUGGCCAGCCCCUGUACCUGCCACCUCUCUCUCCUCAAUUCCACUGCGGGCACAGAACACUAUUUCAAAGAAAGAGGGAUGGGUUAGUGUGGCAGGGAGGGUCUUGGCCCAGUGUGCCAACUCCACAAAGAAGCCUGAUGUUCUUCAACUUCUCAGAGGUCUGCUGCUGGCUGGAGAAUGUCAGCAAGGGACAACACCCAGACUUCCCCAGACUCAACAGAAGAAACUCAGUAUGUAUGGAGUACUUCAUCCACCAAGGUGCCCACUUGUGGCCCUGUUUGGCAUGCUGACAUGGCAGAGGUCUCACUACUCCUUGGCUAGCCUCAGCGUGUGUGAGUGGGACAGGCUGGCCCCUCCAGGCUUGAGGGCAGUCGUCCAGUGAAAGGAGACACUGUGACUCAGGUCCCUGAUGAUACAACACAGGAGAGACGCCAGCUGGAGAAUGAGGAUGCUGAGUGUCAGCAGGACCCCAGUCAUAACGCCUGAGGGCACCUAACCAGUCCCAGUUCUGAGGAUGGCGCCUGGCGCCAUGUCCUCUCAGCAGCCUUGGGCUCUGUGCAGAUAUUUAUCCUCCAUCUGCCAAUCCUGAGGUCCCUUAUGCUGGAUCAGUAAACCCGGGAGACAUGGGCAAGAAUAACAUUCUCCUUGCUCUUCUCUAUUUACAAUUGCUGCAAAAUGAAACAUCCCGCAGCAUGCCACACCCUGCACAAGGUCCUUCCGUUAGUGGGACACUACACUAGGUGGGUAACCUGGUCCUCAGGGCCAUCUGUGCCCUCCCUACCCUCAGCAUAAGUCAGGGUUCUGAGAAACACUGGCUUCCACAGCCCGCGCUCCACACCUGCAUGAGCCUUCCCUUCCUUUCCCACCCUCCAAUCAGGAAAAAGAGAAAGAAAAGAAAAACUCAGAAACCUGAAGAUUGUUUGGAAUUUAUUCUCUUAAAUAAGAAUGUAACAUUUGUUAAAAAAAAACAAAACACCAAAAAAAAAAAAGAGAGAGAGAAAAAAACCCUUAAAGCACACAACACCUUGGUUUCACAGUAAUGGCAAGAACAAAGUUACACAAUUAAAUAAAAAAAAACUCACAAAGCAACACACC